AGAAAUUGCUGAUAUCUCAGCUGGGCACUGGCGACUUACCUGUAAUCCUAGCUACUCAGGAAGCUGAGAUCUGAGGAUCAAGGUUCAAAGUCAGCCCAGACAG